GUUAUACUAGGCUUUGGUAUGUAGUUUUAUGUUCUAUGUUAAGAUAAGAUAACAUCUUAAUAUAUGUUAGCUACUAUGUUAUGCAAUAAGUUAGUACAUGUUAUUGUAUGUGUCACUAUACUGUAUGUAAGGCACGUUCAGGUAGUUGUGUUAUGGAUGUAGUACUAUGUUCAGGUAGUUAUAUUAUGGAUGUUAUGGGUGUAGUACUAUGUUCAGGUAGUUAUAUUAUGGAUGUUAUGGGUGUAGUACUAUGUUCAGGUAGUUGUGUUAUGGAUGUAGUACUAUGUUCAGGUAGUUAUGUUAUGGAUGUUAUGGAUGUAGUACUAUGUUCAGGUAGUUGUGUUAUGGAUGUAGUACUAUGUUCAGGAUAUGUUCUGUUAUUUAUUACUGUCAGAAUAUCACUGUUUCCAGGAAGCAACACAGUAACAGGACUAUCUUCAGGGUCCCUACUACUAGUUGUAAUUAAAAAUACUUUAUCUGGGCUUUAUUGAGUUUGCCUGGUGUUAUUGAACCAAUAGGAUAG
ensembl:lncRNA